UACGAAGGGGGCUAGCGUUGUUCGGAAUUACUGGGCGUAAAGCGCGUGUAGGCGGGUCCUUAAGUCAGGGGGGAAAUGCCAAGGCUCAACCUUGGAACUGCCUUUGAUACUGGGGAUCUUGAGUCCGGGAGAGGUGAGUGGAACUGCGAGUGUAGAGGUGAAAUUCGUAGAUAUUCGCAAGAACACCAGUGGCGAAGGCGGCUCACUGGCCCGGUACUGACGCUGAGGUGCGAAAGCGUGGGGAGCAAACAGG
rnacentral:rRNA from 1 species